CCUAAAACAGGAACUUGCAGAGUUGAAGCUGUAAUUUUCUCGUUUUUUCAGUAAUCUGCAAAAAAUGGGAAGCAGAGCUUUCAUGGUUUUGCUAAGUCAUAGAGGAGCAUACAUUAAUCCUUCUGCUAAUGCUGCCCAACUUUUCUUGACUUUCGGGCAAAGCCCAUUUUCUCCUGUGAAGAUAAAAUGUCUUGUAGAACGCAGGAAUCAUAGGACAAGCCACAACUUCUCCACCGCAGCAAACUCUAGCCUUGAGCCCCCUAAUCUUCCUCGUUUGGCUGAAACUGCUCGAAUUUCCCUCACCCCAGAUGAAGUGGAAGAAUUUGCUCCUAAAAUGAAACAAGUGGUAGAUUGGUUUGGGCAACUCCAAGCUAUUGAUCUUGAAAGUAUUGAGCCAGCAAUGCGAGCAGAUACUGAAGAUGACAAUUCACGUGAUGAUUUACCUCAAAUUUUUGAGAAUCGGGAAGCAAUAAUAAAAGCUAUGCCAAGCUAUGAGGAACCUUAUAUCAAAGUUCCAAAGGUCUUGAACAAGGAGUAGAACUCUACUGGGUUGUGGAAUGCACCAAUUAACAAAUUAUGGGUUUGUGUUGGACAGAAUACAUGAUGAAGCUGGACUGAGCUUCUAGUUUCUGACAAGAUAGUGAAACCCGUUCGGCCUCCCCAAUUCAUCUACCUCCCUGAUAUUUGAUGUAUUGGAGUCUGAUCUUCUUCAAAGUUUCAAGAACACUUUCAUGCAAGUCUUUCCUUGGGAGAUUCAGACACACAACUUAAGUCCAGUUCCAUGAUUGAUGAUGGACCUUUCGACUUUUCUGGUAUAGUUGUUCAUUUGGUUUCAACAAGUUAGCAUCUAUAACUUGAAGAAUCUCACUAGGCAUCAAACCUUUAACCCAACCCUUCAGGUUCAAAUACUCACCAAAUAUUUCACAGCAGGGCUAGUAGUAGUAGUGUUGGUUAUUCCUUCAACAUAUCACAGAGACAGGUCCGAGAGUCACUUCUUUCACUGUUGAGUGUUCUCCAUGCAUGAUGCACCCUCAUUUGGUACAAACUUGACAACAAUGCAAACCUUCUUCUCUCCUCAAAACAUAUUCAGUACAGUGGUUGGUUGUACUCUACUUUUUGGUGCAGCAACCCAGUUAAGUGAAAGGACGAUUGCUCAAUUCUAUUCUUCCGUGCAUCUUGCUUUUAGAGAUUUUUUUUUUAUUUUUUGAACAUUAAAUCUAACCAUUAGCUAUCCAUCUUGUUUUCAGGAGAACUUUUUCUUUGAAUUCAAAAUCAAAUUUUUAGCAACAAGGCUAGUUAUUAUGUAUACUUUAUUAUUUCCCUCCAAUCUCAUCAAUAUCUAUACAAUAUCUAUGCUAUAUAUAAAUGGAGAGCAGUAGUAGUUGGUAUAAAUAUUUUCUGUCGUUUUUCAAACUUUCAAUUUUACCCCUACAUUUUUUUUUACCCUAAUCACCUGAUCACAUUUCUUGACACAACCGCUCAUAACUACUCCAAGUAUUGCAACUACUAAAUAAUCUAUUUUUUAAUUGAAGAAAAAAUUACCUAUAAAUUGAAGUCUGUUAAUGAAAAAUUCGUAUAAAAUUUAUUAGUGUAAAAAUAAAAUUCACAAAGUCUAAAUUGCACACACAUUGGGCGUGCCUUAAACAUGACUAUAAAUUUAUCAAUUUUAAUAUUUCACAAUAGCCAGUUUUACAGCAAGUUGACGAAUGCAACGCCAAACAAUAGAAUAAACAAACCUUCAGACUUGGUUCUUUGGAGGUAACUUCAUCCAAACUUUGAGGAUGCUAAUUGGCAUGAAUAGCCGUUACUUGUGCAUUGGCUCGAGUACAACCUCGACUCCAUUUCCAUGGGCUUCACCCUUGUGCUAUGCACUAACAACCCCUACCUGUUUCUGUUGUACUGGCACCUGCGAUUACUGCCAUGAUCAUACUCCAAUCAAGCUACAUCUCUGCACUUUCUGUGUUCUUAAUUUGAUCCAUAGAUAUGCAGCAUGGUACCAACGCUGUUCAAGGAAGUUGUACAGUAUCUUCAAGCGAGCAUGGAAUGAGGCAUGAUCUUACAAGUUACGGUAGGCAAAUAUGUUCACAGGAUUCCUCACCAACAACAAACUGCUCUCAGUGACUAAAUCUCGUCCACCUCAAAGAGUACAGUAGAAAGGCUAUACAUGUACCCGUCAGAUCUUAGAUGAUCCAUGAACUGAUCAAGCAGAUUGUAGAUUGCCCUUGAAUCUUCAUGUCUUUCGUCACUCACCAUGAAUUCAUGUAUAUUGCCACAGAUUUCAAUGGAACUAACUGCAUCAUGCUUUUUGAUACCAUUAUCAUUCAUCAAUUUUCUUA